rnacentral:rRNA from 1 species
GACGAACGCUGGCGGCGUGCUUAACACAUGCAAGUCGAGCGGUAAGGCCCGUUUCGGGGGUACACGAGCGGCGAACGGGUGAGUAACACGUGGGUGACCUGCCCUCAGCUCUGGGAUAAGCCCUGGGAAACCCGGGUCUAAUACUGGAUAUGACUCCAUGACGCAUGUUGUGGGGUGGAAAGCCUUGUGCGGCUGAGGAUGGGCCCGCGGCCUAUCAGCUUGUUGGUGGGGUGANGGCCUACCAAGGCGACGACGGUAGCCGGCCUGAGAGGGCGACCGGCCACACUGGGACUGAGACACGGCCCAGACUCCUACGGGAGGCAGCA